rnacentral:rRNA from 1 species
GAUGAACGCUAGCUACAGGCUUAACACAUGCAAGUCGAGGGGUAACGAGAGGAAAGCUUGCUUUCCUUGUCGACGACCGGCGCACGGGUGAGUAACGCGUAUCCAACCUGCCCCCAACUAGGGAAUAACCUUGCGAAAGUAAGACUAAUACCCUAUAAUUUCCUCAGAUGUCAUCUGACGAGGAAUAAAGAUUUAUCGGUUGUGGAUGGGGAUGCGUCUGAUUAGCUUGUUGGCGGGGUAACGGCCCACCAAGGCAACGAUCAGUAGGGGUUCUGAGAGGAAGGUCCCCCAAAUUGGAACCGAGACACGAUCCAAACUCCUACGGGAGGCAGCAGUGAGGAAUAUUGGUCAAUGGGCGGAAGCUUGAACCAGCCAAGUAGCGUGCAGGAUGACGGCCCUAUGGGUUGUAAACUGCUUUUAUACAGGAAUAAAGUUAGCCACGUGUGGUUAUUUGUAGGUACUGUAUGAAUAAGGACCGGCUAAUUCCGUGCCAGCCGCCGCAGUAA